AGGUAUAUUGAUUUGGGACUUUAUUUUUGUGUGUAUUAUCUGAGAACAAAUGCUAUUAUUAUUUCUAGCUGUUUGUGCUUAUAUUAUAGCUUUGAACUUGUUCAGGUGAAUGACUUAAGAUGUAACUUGAACACAAUUAAUGCUGCUGCUAGAGAGGUAAAAGAAUCUGCAAAAUUGCGUCAAGUAAUGCAGACGAUUCUUACUAUAGGAAAUGCAUUGAACCAAGGUACUGCUUGAGGUAUUAUUCUGUAUCAAAGCUGAAGGACUUCACUGGAAGGGAGAAGCCUCCAGUUAUCACAUAAAUCUGAGUGUCUGAUGUUAAUCUCACACAAUGAGGCUUCACUAGUAACAAUGUGAAAGCAGGUUGGGCAUUCCAUCUUUUCUCCUGCAUGUUUCUCAUAUUUAUAUAUUUUUUCGUUUGGUGUUGAUCGCACAAUAUGCAGUCGCUCACAGGAUGACAUUGGAAUAUUUGUUUUCUUGGCAAGUGGAUCCCCAAGAUAUUGUUAUGGUCAGAAAUUUCCUGGAGAGAUGCACAAUAUGGUCAAAGAAUUCAAGGAUUUAGUUUUUU